ACCCCAGGUGGCUGAGAGCAUGGCUUGGGAGCCCCAUCGAUUAACUGCUUCCUGUUCUCAUGACCCGGCAGCAGUUGAGUGAUGUGACACCUAAGAUGCUCCCCUGAUGACUCCGGGGAC
rnacentral:precursor_RNA from 7 species